rnacentral:rRNA from 1 species
GACGAACGCUGGCGGCGUGCCUAACACAUGCAAGUCAACUUGACUGAAGGAGCAAUCUGACAGUAGAGUGGCGCAAGGGUGCGUAACGCGUAAGUAACUUGCCCAAGGUAAGGAAUAACGUCGAGAAAUCGGCGCUAAUACCUCAUAAUGCAGCGGAUCCGCAUGGAUAUGUUGUUAAAGGUUUACCGCCUUGGGAUAGGCUUGCGUCUGAUUAGCUAGUUGGUGUGGUAACGGCACACCAAGGCUACGAUCAGUAACUGGUCUGAGAGGAUGAUCAGUCACACUGGAACUGAGACACGGUCCAGACUCCUACGGGAGGCAGCAGUGAGGAAUAUUGGGCAAUGCUCGAAAGAGUGACCCAGCAACGCCGCGUGGAGGAUGAAGGUAUUCUAUAUCGUAAACUCCUGUGAGAGCAGGCGAAAGACAGAUUAUUAAUCUGGAUGACUGUAUGCUCAGAGGAAGCCCCGG